ACUAUGGGCGAGUAAAACAGACUACCUUGAUCAUCGAAUUUAAAAGUUCGUGCUUUACCAAGUCAUUAAUUAUAGAAAAUCUUUCAUUGACGUUUAUGAGAGUGAGGGGUCAAGAAUCAAUCAUAAUCAUGUGAAAAACGACUGUGAGAGCACGCAACAGCAAGCAGGAAAGCUAAAUUAAUGAAGGAGCGAAAUUUUCUUAAACUUCCAAUAAUCCCUGCUCUGACCUAGAGGUUUUGGACGCCAAAAUUGACCGUCUGUUAGGAAAGAGAGAUGGAGAGAUGUUUGAAUGUGGAAAGGGCAAAACAGAUCAGCCGGCUUGGGUAUGAAGAAUUACAUAAUUCAUUGAACGCGGAAAAAUGAUAAAUUCAUGUGAUUACAAAUAAGGGAAUUCAAAAAAUAGUAAAGCUUUGAAUGAGAACUGUUAUUGUUCUUUUCAACAUACCAUUCUAUUUUAAGUUCCAAUUAAUGAGGAAGCUUGAAAAGGUAAGGGAUAGUAUGAUUUACCAAUGAAAUCGUUGGAUUUGAUGAAAUUUUCUUAGGCGUAGUUGGAGUAGGAAGGACACCGUUGAAAAUAGGAAGCACCAUCGCUAUAAUUAUGGGUUUGAAGAUUUUCGUAAAUAAAAGAAAAAAUGUAUACAAUUCGACUCCAAAAAUCUUGUAGAAAUGUAGACGAGAGUACCAGGAACACAUAGAUACCAAAUAUAGAUAAUCCACGAUAGAUUUAAGAGCUAAAAUUUUCGAAUGAAGACGAGCGCUUGAUAAACAAAACAAUCGCCGAUCGCACCAAUUUAUAAACUAUGAUUUCUCGGCGAAAAAUAAACCAAUUUCAGCGAAUAAA